UAAUUGAAGAGUUUGAUCAUGGCUCAGAUUGAACGCUGGCGGCAGGCCUAACACAUGCAAGUCGAGCGGUAACAGGAAGAAAGCUUGCUUUCUUUGCUGACGAGCGGCGGACGGGUGAGUAAUGCCUAGGGAUCUGCCCAGUCGAGGGGGAUAACAGUUGGAAACGACUGCUAAUACCGCAUACGCCCUACGGGGGAAAGGAGGGGACCUUCGGGCCUUUCGCGAUUGGAUGAACCUAGGUGGGAUUAGCUAGUUGGUAAGGUAAUGGCUUACCAAGGCGACGAUCCCUAGCUGUUCUGAGAGGAUGAUCAGCCACACUGGGACUGAGACACGGCCCAGACUCCUACGGGAGGCAGCAGUGGGGAAUAUUGCACAAUGGGGGAAACCCUGAUGCAGCCAUGCCGCGUGUGUGAAGAAGGCCUUCGGGUUGUAAAGCACUUUCAGUAAGGAGGAAAGGGUGUUG
rnacentral:rRNA from 1 species